AUUGAACGCUGGCGGCAUGCCUUACACAUGCAAGUCGAACGGCAGCACGGGAGCAAUCCUGGUGGCGAGUGGCGAACGGGUGAGUAAUAUAUCGGAACGUGCCCAGUAGUGGGGGAUAGCCCGGCGAAAGCCGGAUUAAUACCGCAUACGACCUGUGGGUGAAAGCGGGGGAUCGCAAGACCUCGCGCUAUUGGAGCGGCCGAUAUCAGAUUAGCUUGUGGUGGGUAAAAGCCCACCAAGGCGACGAUCUGUAGCUGGUCUGAGAGGACGACCAGCCACACUGGGACUGAGACACGGCCAGACUCCUACGGGAGGCAGCAGUGGGGAAUUUUGGACAAUGGGCGC
rnacentral:rRNA from 1 species